rnacentral:rRNA from 1 species
CGGAGGAAAAGAAACCAACAGGGAUUGCCCUAGUAACGGCGAGUGAAGCGGCAACAGCUCAAAUUUGAAAUCUGGCCUCGGCCCGAGUUGUAAUUUGCAGAGGAUGCUUCUGGCGCGGUGCCUUCCGAGUUCCCUGGAACGGGACGCCACAGAGGGUGAGAGCCCCGUAUGGUCGGACACCAAGCCUGUGUGAAGCUCCUUCGACGAGUCGAGUAGUUUGGGAAUGCUGCUCUAAAUGGGAGGUAAAUCUCUUCUAAAGCUAAAUACCGGCCAGAGACCGAUAGCGCACAAGUAGAGUGAUCGAAAGAUGAAAAGCACCUUGAAAAGGGGGUUAAAUAGUACGUGAAAUUGUUGAAAGGGAAGCACUUGUGACCAGACUUGGGCCGGGCGGCUCAUCAGGGGUUCUCCCCUGUGCACUCCGCCCGGCACAGGCCAGCAUCAGUUCUCGUGGGGGGAUAAGACCGUCAGGAACGUAGCACCCUCCGGGGUGUGUUAUAGCCUGGCGGACGAUACCCCCGUGGGGACUGAGGUUCGCGC